rnacentral:tRNA from 2 species
GCCCGGUUAGCUCAAUCGGUAGAGCGUGAGACUCUUAAGAGUCAAUCUCAAGGUUGCGGGUUCGACCCCCGCAUCGGGCU